rnacentral:lncRNA from 1 species
AAAUAAAGAAAGUAAAAGGAAAAAUGUCAAAGAGGGAUCAAAGCAUCAAACAAAAGUCCAACAAAAAUGUGGAAGGUCAACAAAAUUAAGGGUGAAUUGACCUCAUAAGUUGGGACAAAAAAUGUUUAAAAAUGAUUAAAAUAAAAAUGCAACAAGAAAAUUAAAUGGAAAAUAAAAGAAAAUAUGCAUUAAAUGCAAAAAUGAUUUAAAAAAUGCAAAAAAU